GAAAGUUGUAGGCCUAAUAGGUCUAUGUAUUUUGCAUUUUUAUUUUAUUUAAAUCCUAGCAAGUUUAUAUUCAGUUCACGAUUAAAAUGACAGCAGACACUAUAAUUGCACAUACUAUAAAAGGUACAUUUAAUCUGAUAUUGAAGCUGAUUUUUUAAAUAAUCAUCAUGGACUACAAAUUGACUACAAAAAGACGUCACAUCCUGGCCAUAUCGCGCGGAAAAGUAGAAGAUCUGCAUAACCGCCCUCACACGUCUGCUCAACUGCCAGAGAAAAGAGAUCGUCAAUUUCAAUUUCAAAAAAUCCUUCUCUUUCAAAUCCUGCGUACCAGCACCAGAUCUGUCACAGAUUUGAAUAAGAGGUUGCAAUGGUAGCCAUCCAUAUAACGUUACUGUCCUAUGACAUUUUACAUAUUCCUUUCCCAAUGGAAGAGAAAAAGUUCCAAAAGCGACUCCGCUUCAACAGCUUAA